rnacentral:rRNA from 1 species
AGAGUUUGAUCCUGGUUCAGAACGAACGCUGGCGGCAGGCUUAACACAUGCAAGUCGAACGGGCCCUUCGGGUCAGUGGCAGACGGGUGAGUAACGCGUGGGAACGUGCCCUUCAGUUCGGAAUAACCCAGGGAAACUUGGGCUAAUACCGGAUACGUGCGAGAGCAGAAAGAUUUAUCGCUGAAGGAUCGGCCCGCGUCUGAUUAGCUAGUUGGUAGGGUAAUGGCCUACCAAGGCGACGAUCAGUAGCUGGUCUGAGAGGAUGAUCAGCCACAUUGGGACUGAGACACGGCCCAAACUCCUACGGGAGGCAGCAGUGGGGAAUAUUGGACAAUGGGCGCAAGCCUGAUCCAGCCAUGCCGCGUGAGUGAUGAAGGCCUUAGGGUUGUAAAGCUCUUUCGUCCGGGACGAUAAUGACGGUACCGGAAGAAGAAGCCCCGGCUAACUUCGUGCCAGCAGCCGCGGUAAUACGAAGGGGGCUAGCGUUGUUCGGAAUCACUGGGCGUAAAGGGCGCGUAGGCGGCUUUGUAAGUCGGGGGUGAAAGCCUGUGGCUCAACCACAGAAUUGCCUUCGAUACUGCAUGGCUUGAGACCGGAAGAGGUAAGUGGAACUGCGAGUGUAGAGGUGAAAUUCGUAGAUAUUCGCAAGAACACCAGUGGCGAAGGCGGCUUACUGGUCCGGUUCUGACGCUGAGGCGCGAAAGCGUAGGGAGCAAACAGGAUUAGAUACCCUGGUAGUC